rnacentral:rRNA from 1 species
AAUCCAUAGGUUAAUGAGGCGAACCGGGGGAACUGAAACAUCUAAGUACCCCGAGGAAAAGAAAUCAACCGAGAUUCCCCCAGUAGCGGCGAGCGAACGGGGAGGAGCCCAGAGCCUGAAUCAGCAUGUGUGUUAGUGGAAGCGUCUGGAAAGGCGCGCGAUACAGGGUGACAGCCCCGUACACAAAAGCGCAUGUGCUGUGAGCUCGAUGAGUAGGGCGGGACACGUGGUAUCCUGUCUGAAUAUGGGGGGACCAUCCUCCAAGGCUAAAUACUCCUGACUGACCGAUAGUGAACCAGUACCGUGAGGGAAAGGCGAAAAGAACCCCGGCGAGGGGAGUGAAAAAGAACCUGAAACCGUGUACGUACAAGCAGUGGGAGCACCCUUCGGGGUGUGACUGCGUACCUUUUGUAUAAUGGGUCAGCGACUUAUAUUCUGUAGCAAGGUUAACCGUAUAGGGGAGCCGUAGGGAAACCGAGUCUUAACCGGGCGUUAAGUUGCAGGGUAUAGACCCGAAACCCGGUGAUCUAGCCAUGGGCAGGUUGAAGGUUGGGUAACACUAACUGGAGGACCGAACCGACUAAUGUUGAAAAAUUAGCGGAUGACCUGUGGCUGGGGGUGAAAGGCCAAUCAAACCGGGAGAUAGCUGGUUCUCCCCGAAAGCUAUUUAGGUAGCGCCUCGUGAAUUCAUCUCCGGGGGUAGAGCACUGUUUCGGCUAGGGGGCCAUCCCGGCUUACCAACCCGAUGCAAACUGCGAAUACCGGAGAAUGUUAUCACGGGAGACACACGGCGGGUGCUAACGUCCGUCGUGAAGAGGGAAACAACCCAGACCGCCAGCUAAGGUCCCAAAGUCAUGGUUAAGUGGGAAACGAUGUGGGAAGGCCCAGACAGCCAGGAUGUUGGCUUAGAAGCAGCCAUCAUUUAAAGAAAGCGUAAUAGCUCACUGGUCGAGUCGGCCUGCGCGGAAGAUGUAACGGGGCUAAACCAUGCACCGAAGCUGCGGCAGCGAACGUAUCACUUAAAGCGAUUCAGCGGGUUACGAUUGACGGAGCGAAGCGACGUCAAAGCGUAUACAAAGUCGAGUCGGUUUAAGGAUACGUUCGUUGGGUAGGGGAGCGUUCUGUAAGCCUGUGAAGGUGGCCUGUGAGGGUUGCUGGAGGUAUCAGAAGUGCGAAUGCUGACAUAAGUAACGAUAAAGCGGGUGAAAAGCCCGCUCGCCGGAAGACCAAGGGUUCCUGUCCAACGUUAAUCGGGGCAGGGUGAGUCGACCCCUAAGGCGAGGCCGAAAGGCGUAGUCGAUGGGAAACGGGUUAAUAUUCCCGUACUUGGUGUUACUGCGAAGGGGGGACGGAGAAGGCUAUGUUGGCCGGGCGACGGUUGUCCCGGUUUAAGCGUGUAGGUGUGUGUUCCAGGUAAAUCCGGUUCACUUUAACACUGAGGCGUGA